rnacentral:tRNA from 1 species
AGUAAGGUCAGCUAAAUAAGCUUUUAGGCCCAUACCCUAAAGAUGUAGGUUAAACUCCUUCCUUUACUA